UAGAUAUAUUUCUUUUUAUAAUUCAAAAUAUUAGUCCUUUCAGGGUCAUUAAAUUACACAGUAAAGUAUACUCACAUGCAGACACAGACAAUCUUACUGACACAAGCUCAUUGUUACACAGGCUCACAGACAAUGAUACACAGGCUCACAGACAAAUAUUAAAACACACACACUACAUAGCACAAUGACUUAUGGGACUGGCAUAGAUUUUUUUCCAGGGCUGCUUUGUAUCCC